UACGUAGGGCGCAAGCGUUAUCCGGAAUUAUUGGGCGUAAAGAGCUCGUAGGCGGUUUGUCGCGUCUGCUGUGAAAACCCGAGGCUCAACCUCGGGCCUGCAGUGGGUACGGGCAGACUAGAGUGCGGUAGGGGAGAUUGGAAUUCCUGGUGUAGCGGUGAAAUGCGAGAUAUCAGGAGGAACACCAGCGGCGAAGGCGGCGCUCUGGGCCGGAACUGACGCUGAGGAGCGAAAGCGUGGGUAGCAAACAGG
rnacentral:rRNA from 1 species